rnacentral:tRNA from 2 species
CAGAUUGUAGCUUAUAUAUAAAGUUCAUUUUUUACGUUAAUGUGAAAAUGUUGUUCAUUCUAUCUGA